AUUUUUGUUCAUCAGUGAAUGAAAACGGUUAUUAUCCUGAUAUGAAUUCAGCUUAUGAUCCUGAAUUUAUAUUAUUAAAGCAGUCAAUGAUAUUAUUUCAGAGUUAUAACUGACUUAGCAAAGUCACGUUAUUUAUUUAAGCGAGAUGGAAUUAGAAUUUAUUUUUACUCAAAUCGUGAAUUAUUUCCGACUCGUGAGUUAAUUAAAUCUGCGGAUUUAAUUUAGAUAUCAGAACAACGAACGAAUUAAAUCUACGGAUUUAAUUUAAAUUCAUUUUAUAAUUUAUCGAUUUUUAGCGAGAUAUCACAUGUCGAAAUUGGGAUUUAUUUAAAUAAACAGUACAAGCAAAUAUGAGCACGCGAUCCACUUUACAGUUAUAGAAUCACCGAGACAGAGAAAAUACAUCAAUAAUUCUCCUCUACAUUUUUUUUUCCUUUCUUUUUCUUCUCUUUUUCUUUCCAUUAAAUUUGUCCCCCAACUUUUCCCCACCACGCAAUUAUGCAACUAAAUCAAGCUAAUUCAAUAACUCUCCCACUUAACUCACAUCUCCCUCUAUUUGCACAACUCCAGCCAAGAAACAAAACAUUCCCUAUCAUUUUCACCGUGAGUCCUCUUCAAAGAGCAGGAAGUCUCCAUUUCGUCCAGCCAAAUUCUUAAGGUAAGCUUUGCUAUAAUCUUCCAUUUUCUUCCAUUAUCCGCCUGCAAUCAGCCUGCAAUCACUGAGACAACAACACAAAUUUAUUUCAGUUCCAGUUCAUUCACCACACCACAACCGAAAAGUGAGAGAAAUCACUCAUUCACUCCCUGCCAGAAUCAAUAAGUUCAGUCAUUCCAAUUCAUUCAACUCCAACAGCCAUCAAUCAGUUCGAUCAUAUUCAAGGUCAAGGGCGAGAUUGACAAUCUGUUGAGGAGCUUUUGUAUCACAGAAAAUCACUAUCAGGUUGAGCAGCUGCCGAUGUUGAUGAAGUGAUGAGCGGGAUUCUUUUGUCUUUUUAUGUAUUAAAGAACUCUAGGGUUACAUGUCUUCAUACAUGUAAUCAGAAUCAUAAUCCGCUGCGUACUCAGAAGUUUUAUGCUUAUUUGGCUAAGUCAGAAAUAUCUGAACUUAUUAGUUAUCUGAGUCUAUACGACUAAACUUCUGUUAUAUUAUAAAUAUUCCUUUUGUUAAAUGAUGAAAUGUGAUCCUUCUUUGUUUAAUUAUCCCCUUUCUACCCCGCUUCUA